rnacentral:rRNA from 1 species
UGUACACCGGAGUCUUCGCUCACACCGAAAGAAAAAGAGUGGCGAACGGGUGAGUAACACGUGGGUAACCUGCCCAUCAGAAGGGGAUAACACUUGGAAACAGGUGCUAAUACCGUAUAACACUAUUUUCCGCAUGGAAGAAAGUUGAAAGGCGCUUUUGCGUCACUGAUGGAUGGACCCGCGGUGCAUUAGCUAGUUGGUGAGGUAACGGCUCACCAAGGCAACGAUGCAUAGCCGACCUGAGAGGGUGAUCGGCCACACUGGGACUGAGACACGGCCCAGACUCCUACGGGAGGCAGCAGUAGGGAAUCUUCGGCAAUGGACGAAAGUCUGACCGAGCAACGCCGCGUGAGUGAAGAAGGUUUUCGGAUCGUAAAACUCUGUUGUUAGAGAAGAACAAGGAUGAGAGUAAAAUGUUCAUCCCUUGACGGUAUCUAACCAGAAAGCCACGGCUAACUACGUGCCAGCAGCCGCGGUAAUACGUAGGUGGCAAGCGUUGUCCGGAUUUAUUGGGCGUAAAGCGAGCGCAGGCGGUUUCUUAAGUCUGAUGUGAAAGCCCCCGGCUCAACCGGGGAGGGUCAUUGGAAACUGGGAGACUUGAGUGCAGAAGAGGAGAGUGGAAUUCCAUGUGUAGCGGUGAAAUGCGUAGAUAUAUGGAGGAACACCAGUGGCGAAGGCGGCUCUCUGGUCUGUAACUGACGCUGAGGCUCGAAAGCGUGGGGAGCGAACAGGAUUAGAUACCCUGGUAGUCCACGCCGUAAACGAUGAGUGCUAAGUGUUGGAGGGUUUCCGCCCUUCAGUGCUGCAGCAAACGCAUUAAGCACUCCGCCUGGGGAGUACGACCGCAAGGUUGAAACUCAAAGGAAUUGACGGGGGCCCGCACAAGCGGUGGAGCAUGUGGUUUAAUUCGAAGCAACGCGAAACCCUUACCAGGUCUUGACAUCCUUUGACCACUCUAGAGAUAGAGCUUCCCCUUGGGGGGCAAAGUGCCAGGUGGUCCAUGGUGGUCUUCAGUUCGUGUCGUGAGAUUUUGGGUUAAUUCCCGCAACGAGCGCAACCCUUAUUGUUAGUUGCCAUCAUUUAGUUGGCCAUUCAAGGGAGAUUCCCGGUGCCAAACCGGAGGAAGGGGGGGAGGAGGUCAAAUCAUCAUCCCCCUUAUGCCUUGGGCUCCCCACGGGUUCCAAUGGGAAGUACAACGAGUGGGGAAGUCGGGAGGUUAAGUUAAUUUCUAAAAG